rnacentral:rRNA from 1 species
GACGAACGCUGGCGGCGUGCCUAAUACAUGCAAGUUGAGCGCUGAAGGUUGGUACUUGUACCAACUGGAUGAGCAGCGAACGGGUGAGUAACGCGUGGGGAAUCUGCCUUUGAGCGGGGGACAACAUUUGGAAACGAAUGCUAAUACCGCAUAAAAACUUUAAACACAAGUUUUAAGUUUGAAAGAUGCAAUUGCAUCACUCAAAGAUGAUCCCGCGUUGUAUUAGCUAGUUGGUGAGGUAAAGGCUCACCAAGGGGAUGAUACAUAGCCGACCUGAGAGGGUGAUCGGCCACAUUGGGACUGAGACACGGCCCAAACUCCUACGGGAGGCAGCAGUAGGGAAUCGUCGGCAAUGGACGAAAGUCUGACCGAGCAACGCCGCGUGAGUGAAGAAGGUUUUCGGAUCGUAAAACUCUGUUGGUAGAGAAGAACGUUGGUGAGAGUGGAAAGCUCAUCAAGUGACGGUAACUACCCAGAAAGGGACGGCUAACUACGUG